CGUAAAGGUUCGAGUCUCGCAAAGCGAGACAACAUCACUCCGGUGAUGGCCCGAAGGGCGAGGCCAAAGGCCGA
rnacentral:sRNA from 1 species